AUGGAUGAGGGAAAGAAACAGAGAGAGUAUGAUGAAAUAGAAGAGGAAGAAACAGAUGAUGAAGAAUCUGAGGAGGAAGAAGUGGUGCAUUAUGAGGGUGACACAGAGGUUGAGGAACCUUUUCAAAUGGAUGAAGAUGACAAAGUUGUUUCACGGGAUGAAGAAACUGUAAUUGUACAUGAAGAGAAGAAGAAGAAAAAACAGAAGCUUCCAGUUAGGAAAGGGCCUGCAACAAGGACACAUUCAAGUGUAGUUCAAGAGGAGGAACCUGAUUUCGAACCUUCAUCUGAUGAAGAAGAGAAAGGAUUGUUGAAGGAGGCUGAUGAUGAUGGUUAUGAGCCAUUGUCAUUUGUGCUGCUAAAGAAAAGGAAGAGCAGGGCAAAGCAGAGGCCUCCUAGAAAAUGGUACGAUGAGAAAAUGGAGGCACCACAUGAGCAAUUAUGUCUAAAGAUGUGUUUCUUGGAUCAACAUCAAUUCAGAGAGGCUUUGUUGAACUUACACAUCACUCAAGGCAGAAACUUCAAAUAUCAUAGGAACUCAGAUCAAAGAAUAAUUGUAGAAUGCAACCAAAAACAUUGCAACUUCUUUAUGGUGGCAGCAGUUAUAAAAGGUGAAACUACUUUUGUAAUUAAGAAGAUGAGAAUGAAGCACACUUGCCCUAUUAGUACAGAGACAACAAGGGUAAGUGCCAAGUGGCUUGCACAGAAGUAUGAGUCACUGUUCAGAUCUGAUCUAACAACUGGCAUUCAGACUUUGAUUGAUGCCUGCAUGGAGAAGUAUGGUGUGGAUGUGCCCAAGUCAAUGGCAUAUAGGGCAAAGAACCUAGCUAUUUAUGUUGUGCUAGGAGACCACAAGAAGCAAUACCCUAGGUUGAAAGACUAUGCUCAGACAGUGAUGGAUACAAACCCUGGGAGUAGAGUAGUAGUCACUACUGUAACUCCAACACCCACUGAAAAAAUCCCCCAUCCAGGUCCAAGAUUCCACGCUAUGUUCUAUUGCAUCAAUGGAGCAAGGGAGGGGUUUCUCAAGGGGUGCAGACCAUUCAUUGGUUAG
rnacentral:rRNA from 1 species